AUGGACGCCGGAGCUCCCCUGCUCAGAUUCGCCGCGCUGCUUCCCUGCUCUCCCGCGCCGGAGCUCCCCUGCUCAGCUUCGCCGUGCUGCUCUCCCGCGCGUCCUCCUCCGUCGCUCCCUCCUGCCUCGCGCAGCUCCCCUGCCCCCCUUGCCUGCCUCCCAAAUCUCCCCUCUUUCACCCCCAAAAUCGUUUCUUCUUCGUCCCGCUGCGUCCCCUGCUUGCGCGCGGCGACGACACGUCCUCCUCGUUGCCCCCGACGCCGGAGGAGGCACGGGGCAAGCAACAGUAGCUCGAGGAAGGGGAUUUCGCCGCCAAGGCGCCCUGGGCAUGCUCCUCGAGUCCCUGCUCCUCGGCCCCCUCGUCACCUCCCUACUCAAGAAGCACAACAACAUGACGCAGGUCCUCUCCUCCCUUGUCAGCUUUCAUUUUGUUUGAGAUUAUUUUGUCCAACAACUUCGUGGUUUGCUUCCGUUGCACUCAGCACGAUUCUGGUCUUAUUAAUGUUGGGGGCGAGCAGAUGCGGCAGCGCACGGUGA
rnacentral:rRNA from 1 species